AAAGAACAGUAAUGUUCAAGUCGCCUUUGUCUCCCCAACACAAUUUUAACUCCCUCUCUAUAAUUCCUUCCAACCUUUCACCUACCAUAUGACUAAACCCGCAUCUCCCCAGAUGGGGUGGCUUCACUCCCUCAUCUCCCCCAUGAAGAAGUUCUGGGAUCGUCUGCACUUCGGCCACAGAAAGCGUAGAGGAAUAUACAUUCUGUACAAGGAUGUGAAGUCUUGCCCAUGUGAAGAUGUGCAUGUCCUGUGGUCAAUUCUGGUUGAGUCUCAUCAACCAGCUUCUUUGCCAUCGAAAUGAUAUACACUCAAAUGAAGCUGGGUUUGGCUAGAUGGAAUCCAUGUACAAAAAAGUCAUGAAGCAGGUAAAUGGGCAAGUAUAUAAAUGGUCUGCCUUGCCAUUUGUCAAUAUGGUUGCCAAUAAUACUGCUCUAUAUACGUGUGUACAUAGAUACAUAUGUACAGCACUGCAUUAUACAUACUCAGAAAAAUCAAGUUUUCCUUAUUGUACAAAUUGAAUAAUGUGAAGACUUGAAUGUGUUGUUUAAUAUACACUGCUCGUUUCGUUUCUUCUGCAACUGUGUUUUUGCCAGAUGUAAUCUAUAUAUGCUCUGUUG
rnacentral:misc_RNA from 1 species